GAUCCGACCAACUGUGCGGAUUUGGCGGCAGCUUCGGCUGUCGUCGCCGUACGGUUCGGAAGGAACGCUUUUAUUAGAUCAAAACCGGCUAAACGGCGGUUUCGCUUCCGAGCGUCUCCGUCGUAAGCGGCCCGCGCAAAGAUUUGGUGACUCUGAAUAACUUCGAGCUGAUCGCACGGUCCUCGUACCGGCGACGUAUCUUUCAAAUGUCUGCCUUAUCAACUGUCGACGGUAGGUUCGACGCCUACCGUGGUGGUAACGGGUAACGGGGAAUCAGGGUUCGAUUCCGGAGAGGGAGCCUGAGAAACGGCUACCACAUCCAAGGAAGGCAGCAGGCGCGCAAAUUACCCACUCCCAGCUCGGGGAGGUAGUGACGAAAAAUAACGAUACGGGACUCAUUUGAGGCCCCGUAAUCGGAAUGGACA
rnacentral:rRNA from 1 species